rnacentral:rRNA from 1 species
AUGUCGAGGAAGAGGAACAUAAUGCCGGAGGAAGGCAAUAACAAGUAUCAGCUCAAGGAGUUCUUGAUGGAGACGAUUGGCCAGAUCUUACUUGUAGCUUUUUUUGUGGGAAAGUCUUUGACUCCACAUUGUUGGGCUAAGUUAUAUUCGCAUCUCCGUUUUGGAUUAAAUCAAUUGAACCUACUGAAAAAAAAUCCUUUGGGAGUGUGA